rnacentral:rRNA from 1 species
GUUGCAGAACAAAAAUGCUGGGAAAAUACCUCUGGCAGUCCACUCUGUGUAGGCUUUCUAUGCCAGGCGACAUGCUCGAUUGCGGGCAAAAUGUUUAAUGCUGUCGUCAAGGAACACAAGUGCAUAGGGUCAUCAUUCAAUAGCCAAUGCUACUGCUAUCUCUGCGACAAAUAG